GAGAGAGAGAGGUCUUGAGUCUUAACUUUGGAGGAGUUUCUUAGCUAGCUAAUGAGAGGGAAGAGGUCAAAAGAUCAGUCGAGUGGGAGGCGAAAUUCAUCAUACGAUGAAUCCAGUUCAUCAUCAUGGAAUCAGUAUGGAUACCCAUCACCAUAUCCAUAUCCAUCUCAGCAAAACCCAUAUUACACGCCUCAGCAACAUC
rnacentral:misc_RNA from 1 species